GUUCUUACCAAAAGGAACACAUUAAGCUAUGUGCAUUCCCACAUUCAUUCACCAAUCCAUCAACAUACAUUUAUUUACACCUUUUAUGCCAGGCACAGAUGAUUCAUCAGUGAUCAAAAUAAAAGUCUUUGUCAUCAUGGGGUUUACAUUCUACUAGGGAAAAAGCAGAGGAAGAGGGGAAAGCAAAUAUUUGUUAGAUGUGCUUAUGAUAUGUGAUACAUGCUAAAGAGAAAAAUAAAGCAGAAUAAGGAAGUUAGGAUUUUGAUAUUUUAAAGAGGGUAGUCAGGAAACGCCUCUCUGAUAGGAGAUAUUCGAACACAGACCUGAAGCAAGUGAGCAAGCUCUUCACAUGGAUAACUGGGGGAAAUGCAUUUUAGACAAGGAAACAGCAUGCAAAAGGCCUCGAGGCAGGAGCAUAUCAGCACAUACCAGGGCCAGUAAAAGAGCAGGUGUGGCUGAAGCAGAACAGAACAGGAGGUGCAGUAGCAGGUGAGGGCAGAGAGAUUGCUGGAGCCACGUAGAUACACAGGGCUUUCCAGGCUAUAGUAAGCAAUGAUUGGGAACCAUGGGAGGGGUUUGAGCAGAGGAAUGGCAUGAUUUGGCUUCUGUUUUAAGUAGGCACCCUGACUGUUGUAUGCAGAAUAGAGUCAAAAAAAUGGAGUGACCAGUUAGGAUGCCACUGAAAUAAUCCAGACAGGAGGUGAUGGUCAUUUGAGCUGACGAGGUAAUGAAAAAUGAUUUCUAUUCUGGGUGUUUCAAAGGGCUAACAGGUUUAGUAGUGCUGGAACCUUCUAUUUUCCCCUCCAGUGGAGCUUUUCCUCCACUCUCCAUACUUCUCUGCCCGGCUGCUUAUGGCCCAGGAGACUGGUCUAUACAGGCUGGAUCAUCUCUGGCCUCCUUUGGGUUUGGCCCAUGAGAGGCCCCUGCACAAGAUCAGAAGACAGGAAAAGCAUGAGGUCACAAUAUUUGUUCUCCUAGCCCCCUCACUGCCACCACCAGUUAGCUGUGACCGUGGCUCUCACCUGCUUACCAUCUUUGGGUUCCAGGAAGCCUUUUCCUCCCCUACCUCCUUCUCACCUAGAUAUAAUACCAGUUCCUGCAGUGGCUUGCUCAGGGGCACGCCACUAUACUUUAUUGGUGUUCUUGAACCUUGCACACAGAUUUAUAAAUAAUCCCUUUAGUAAGCUUUCCUCCAAAUAUUGGGAUUUUGACCCAUACUGGGAGCUAGGACGUCUAAUGUACUAAGAACAGCAGGAGAAUUGCUUGAACUAGAAAGGUGGAAGUUGCAGUA
rnacentral:lncRNA from 10 species